rnacentral:lncRNA from 1 species
CGCUGGUGUAGAAAACGGGCCGGAGCCUCGAACACGGGCGGCAGCGGAACCCAUGUCGCUGAACACCGCUGCAUCGAAAGGCAGCAUUGAGCAGCCCAAUCAGCCCAGCGUCCUUGGUCCCCGACGCGAGGACUGACACGAGAGGCAGCCUCGGCGCAGGUCCGUCGACUGUUGUGUGGAAAAGUACAUUUGGAAGGGGGAGCUGGGUGAUGUGGGCCACACCGAGCCGGGCUCCCCACGCACACUCCCAGCCCGAAAGCGUGGUGCCCCUCCCAUGUCCAAAGCAUGCAGUAUAUGGAGGAUGGAAGUGCUGUUAGACAAGGAAAUGCUCUUGGGAAAAUAAUUAAAGAUUGCUGGCAUGGUUUUCCAAAUGUAAAAAAUCAUUUCUCCUACAACGUUACUGUGACAUGAAAUAAAUGGGAUGACCCUCGACAGACGCAUUGAAGCUCGUGCUGCAUUGCUGUCCUACCCGCGAAGGGUCGGUGGCACAACGGCGAUGGCGCAGCGCUGGGGCCUCGGGUGUCUUUACAAGCUCAUCGCUUUCCGCGUUUAGAAACGGCCCCAGCAACGUUAAGCGGUGAAAGUUUAUCGCCUCCUGCCACCAUCUUUCUAUGUCGCUCAGCACCGGAAACAAUACAUUUCACAUUUGCGCACUUCAUAGCGACGCACCGCUUGCGUGCGUCUCCCCGCCAGCGACACGCAAUCGCACUUUCCCUUCGAACGCGUUUUUCACGAAUGACGAAAAAGAGAAUCUGAAACUUUCACACCAUUUCCUUCUCUUGCUCUCAUGUGCCGAGAUGCGCUAAUAUACCGGAAAGAUGAGGGGGGCGGGGUGGGAGUAGCCGAGAUUUUUCAUGAAGAUCGAGACAAACAUCUCCAGCACAUCGUUCUCCAAAGUCACCGAGACAGAGAGUGUGACUCCGGGACAGUGAUGGUACAGAGCGGAACAAGGAGCGGCAGACCGUCCGUCGCAUCCGUCGACCCGCAGCGCCUACCGUUCUCCGUCACUUCUAGCGCGUUACGCUUACCUGCUUUGCCUUGGAUACCAUCUUACUAAAAUAUGGCUUAGAUAACCCUCUUUCCUGACUGCAAUUCUCCCUCAUGCUAGAGCCACUCAGCUGGAGCAGCAUAACUGUGGCUCCUCACGGUGGGAAACCGUUUUAAUCGGACGUCCGUAGGGCCUGGGAGACCGAAGGGACAACAACAUUCGGUAAGGUGGCCGAAGGCAACACAUUCGCCGUGUAAUUCCUUCUGCGUUCUUUUCCCCACAGCUUCAUUUAUUGCACUCAAAAUUAUGAGCUAUCUCACUAGUCUCACAAUCGAAAUCUACAUACAGUUGAGAAAUAGACGAGCCUUAUGUAUGUUUGCCUUUUCUCGUAUUUCAAAGUCCUGCAGCUUUUAGAGACACAUCUUGUAAAUAAAGUGUCAGCGAAGCCAGGACUGGCA